rnacentral:rRNA from 1 species
GGCCUAUCAGCUAGUUGGUGAGGUAAUGGCUCACCAAGGCUAAGACGGGUAGCUGGUCUGAGAGGACGACCAGCCACACUGGAACUGAGACACGGUCCAGACACCUACGGGUGGCAGCAGUCGAGAAUUUUUCUCAAUGGGCGAAAGCCUGAAGGAGCGACGCCGCGUGGGGGAUGAAUGGCUUCGGCCCGUAAACCCCUGUCAUUUGCGAACAAGUUAUUUUACCUAACACGUAAAGUAUUGAUUGUAGCGAAAGAGGAAGGGACGGCUAACUCUGUGCCAGCAGCCGCGGUAAUACAGAGGUCCCAAGCGUUGUUCGGAUUCACUGGGCGUAAAGGGUGCGUAGGCGGUGAGGUAAGUCUGACGUGAAAUCUCCGGGCUCAACCCGGAAACUGCGUUGGAUACUAUCUCGCUAGAGGAAUGGAGGGGAGACUGGAAUACUUGGUGUAGCAGUGAAAUGCGUAGAUAUCAAGUGGAACACCAGUGGCGAAGGCGAGUCUCUGGGCAUUUCCUGACGCUGAGGCACGAAAGCCAGGGGAGCA